GUUAGAUUGGAGAAGAAAUGAGUGACCUUGGAGUAGUAGGAUUGCUAGCUAAACCCUCCAAGGAGGUCGGCCACUUUAGAGAGAAAGGAGAGCUUAUGUUCUCAUUCUUUCCCCAAAAGAAAACCUUAAAUGAAUUUUGGCUAUAAAGUCAUAUUUAUACCUUAAUUCAUUGGAGUGGCAAACUUGUAAAUAAGUCCAAAACUCACUCCAUCUCUAAAUGGCCGGCCUUAGGGUAUUAUUGGGCUGAUUGGGCCUUCGUGAAUCAUUAUUCAUUAAGUUGUCAUACAACUUAAGUCAAUGAGCUUGACGUUCGAAGCCCAUUGGGCCUUAAGGUCCAAAACUAUCCUGAGGUCUUUAACGAACUUAUUCAUUUGAUUAAUUAACAUAUUAAUUAAUCCUUGCCAUAAAUAAUUAAACCAUUUAAUUAUUCUUACUCAUCUCCAUUGUUUCUUCAAUCUCCACCUUACACGGUGUACGAUCCAUUAGGUUCCUUUUAGCGAGGCAGUGGGCGAUUAAAACCAUUUUAAAUCGAUUGUGAAUUGAAACUUAGUUUCAAUUCUCCCUUUAGUGAUUAUACACGUUUAGGGCUUCCACAAACCAUGAGUGACACCUAGCAGCAUAUCAUGGUUACCCAAGCUAAUCAGAAGAGGUGGAGAACCUAUUCAGUUUAGGAUUACAAAUGCAAUACGGUCUUUCUCUAAUACAAUACUCUUGACCACAUUGUUUGGUUUAAUAGUUUAUUCAUGUCUACUAUCCAAUGUGAUUCGUGUGCUUAUAUGAUUACCUUGAAUGUGAUUUGGAACGACUUCCUAAAUCUUAUUCAUACUCUGGCCAGAGAUUCUUAAUCAUAUCAUAGAGUAUUCUCCCCCAAACGGUUUGAAGGUUAGAGAUCCCUUGUUGCGCAUUCACUUGCCUCUAUGGCUAAGUGGCUUAACCCCGACGAUGCCGUGGACACCCGCGGAUGGGGUGACUUUGACAUAAUCAAAGAUCAAGUACCUAACCACAAGACAACUAUGAUGCCUCAGGUCAAAAGACUACUUUGCAUUAUCCCAACCAUGAGUUCUCAUGUGACAUGAAUAUGAGAACUCUUUGUUGAUCGUGUUCAGUGAACUCAUUCUCUAUUAAGCACCUACGUAGUUGUCUUGAUGUUACACACACCAAUGACUCAAGACUAGUCACUCUCCCUGAGAGAAGACACAGCACGUACUGAUCUUAACGGACUGUCAAUGCCCAAUUGGCAAUCUUAUGAUCAGGAACGUUUAGGAUGUGUCUACGAAAGAAUGGUCUCAUGAAUCUAACUUCUUUAGAUCGCAUUCUCCCAAUCACAUAUUCCUUGGACUUAUCGUUUAAGCGUAUAACAUUUAUAUGAGACGGCUCAAACAAUAAUCUUUGCCCUUGAUAUUAAACUAGAUUAGUUUAACAUGUGAAAUGUCCGUAAAGUAUCAUCAUAUGAUUGGUUUUAGGGCACAUUUCCAACAAUCUCCCACUUGCACUAGAGCCAAUCAGCUUGGUCAUCAGUGAUGAUACCUCUUCUGUAGUCAUUUCAUAAAUGGCUGAGUAGUAGGCCUAGACAAUGGAUAUCUAUAUGUUAUCCAUAGAAGCAACCUUGAGAAUAACGACGUCACCAUUAUACAUGAUUCUAAAUCAUGUGGUUCGGUUCGGUCUCUCAUUUGAGUUUGGAUCAUGCUGAGACCUUGAUUCCCUGGCUUGAGCUAUCGCCCCAUUAGUGUCAGACACUUUCUGGUUGGAACCGAAUAGAGAGUUCAUAAAUGAACUUUCCCAUCCAAACAACAUUGUUGUAAACUUCUAUAUGGCAAUAUAUUUUGCAUUCAUAAUGGAACACACUAAAGUCAUUACUUUAAUGUUUCCAUCCAAAUAUCUCUUUAGUCAUAAUAAAGAGAUUUCUGUUUAUCUCUUCAUUCAUAAUGAAGAAACAUCCAAUGAUAGAUUAGAUUCAUAAUCUAAUACAUUUACGCUUCCAUUACAUUACUCUAAUUCUUCCUCGAUCUUUGAGGAAUUUAUCCUUUAGUAUUUCUUAAAUACUUAAGGACUCACUUGACAGUUGCCAUGGUUCUGAUCCUGGGCUUGCACUGAUAUCGUCUUGUACCGUUCUAGGUACAACUCAUAUCAAUGUUUUUCAUACAAUAUGAAAUACAUAAAUCACCUUUCUGGGUAUGCAUAAAGGAUUAUAUUUAUGCAUUAUUUCUUUGGGAGUCAAAGAGUACGUUCUCUUUGAGAAGAGCAACUUCUUAGUCUCACUAGAGUUGUCCUUUUUUAUUGAAGUUCAUCAUCAUAUGAGAAACUUCCUAUCAUCAUUUGUCUAUAUUUAGGGCUAGAUAUAAUCCAAUUAUAUCCUAAAAUCUAUCAAUAUAGAUUUCCAUCCCAUGUAUAUAGACUAUGUCUCCCAUAUACGUUCUAUCUUCAUAUAAUGUUUUAAAGUCAUAACUUUAACGAAGAAGUAUUCUUUUCAUUUCCAAAAUUAAUAUAUCAUAUAUAUUUAAAUUUUAGGAACAUGAUUAACUCCCACUAAUCUUUUGUAAACCUAGUAAACAAAAGAUUCAUUUACAUCUUUAUGAGAAAUCAAACGAUUUGAUCUUUCUCUCAUAAGACGCUUAUAGCUCCCACUAGCUUGCUAAGAUCCAUGAUGGAUGGAUCUCUACAACUUACAUGUCUUGUGAUUCAUAGUUUUAGACAUAUAUUAUCAAGACUAUCUUAAUAAUGUUUUCUGAAACCCAUAUUAUGUCUAAACAUUGAAUCACCAUUUAGUUGUAGCUAGCAAUCUUCGAAUUAAUUGAAACCAAGACUAUGUUAAAGAUGGUUUCUUCCAAGUCAACCAAUCUCUUUAAUUGUAGUCACCUUAAGCUACCAAUUAGCUAUGGAGGUUUCAUUAUUUCGGGUCAAAUGGUACUUUACCAUUUCCUUGAGUAUAUAUCGUAUAUACACUCAAUGUAGUCAUAAGGAUUUUCAUUCUUAUUUCUUUCGAAUUAAGAGGUGUAACUCUAUUACAUAGUCAUAAAGUUCAAACCAUUCAACUGAGACAGUUUAUAAAUCCUUCUUGACUACCUUGGAGCUUGUGGUGUAGGAACUAGGUUGUUAUAUUUGUUGAUUAUCAUCUUGUCUCUCAAAGAACCCAUUCUUUGAGUUAUAUCUCUUGUUCAUUUGCGCUAUCUUAGGCAAAUCCUAGUGUAGGAUUACAAUGAACUACCCAACAAACAACAUUUGUUAGUUGGUUUAUAGAAGUGAUAUUCAAAUGUUAAUUUAAGUAUAUCCACAAGAUAAUUCUCAAACAAAUAUUGCUUAUUAGCACACAACCCCAAAUCUUAACAUGAUUAAGAUUUGUCUUUCUUUCCAACUACAUCUUAUGGAGUUAUGAAAAUUUUGGAAGAUCUUCUAAUUGACAAUCAUAUUGUAUUAGAAGCAUAUAUCCUAUAUAUGGGUAAUUGAUAACAUCCAACGAACUAAAUCUUAGGGGUGUGAUAUCCACACACCCCAUUUUACUUCUCACACACCCUUCUAAUUUUUGACAGUCGGAUCGGAUGAAUUGAAGAAGAUCAACGGAUAGAAAUUAACAAGGGUGUGUGAGAAGUAAUUUGGGGUGUGUGGAUAGCACACCCCAAAUCUUAUUCAAGUUCGUUAUUCUCCUAAUCGAGAAAUCCAUUAUCUUUUGAUGCUUCUUUCCUUGAUAUUUUUCAAGGAAACUGUUCUAAAGUGUUAUCUUUCCUUGGAUCAAAUCUAAGGAGGCAAAUACUUUAGACGUCUUACUCAUCAACUUACAUUUCUUGAAUUCUUUGAAACCUUUUGCAAAGUAUGGACUUGUGUUUAUUCAAAAUAAACUAUAGUCCAACCAACCGAGAGUGAUCUUCGGUGAAUGUCAUACAACAUGAGUAGUAUUAUGUUGUGGACAAGGGCCACUAACAUCUAAGUGAAUUAACCUCAACAACUUUGUGAUUCUCUUCUUUCCAAAAGAAUAAAGAUUCGAACAUUUCGCCUCUAUACAAUUUUAAUAAGAAGGUAUUGGAUCCGGAUCUUACGAUCCAAAGCAUCCAUCUAUGACCAACUCGUAUUUUAUGGUUUUGAGGUAUCACAACUCAGUUGGGAUUAGUCACUACCUUGCAACCUUUUGGGUUUUAAGCAUCGUUAUAUUCUAAACAGUUAACACUACCAUAUCAUCUCUACUAUAGAGACAAUCAAUUAGAUUACAAUAAUCUAAUCAUUCAUUAAUAAAGAAUGUUUUGUCAAACAAAACAUUCAUCCAUCCCUUGUAGUGAUGGAAUUAAGUUCCUUAAAAUUGGAAUGUAAAGACGAUCUUUGGUUUUUCCAAUUUCUUUGGUAGUUCAUAUGAGGAAGUAAGUACCAUCUGCUUUCACAGAGAUCUACAUUUGAUUUACUUUCCGAAUGUGAAGUAUUUUCUCUUCUCUCAUAAAUCCUCUACUUUUUAUUAGCCACACUUUUACAACGAUUGUAAAACAUAGUUACUAAUACGGAAUCAAGCAUUCAAGCAGAAGAACCAACUGUUUUGAACUUUUCAAGAACAAUUUACAACACCUUCGAAAGGUGUGUUCUUGACAUUUGCAAGACAUUUCUUGCAAAUACCCAUUCCAAUGUCCAUCCUUUCAUAAAGAAAGUUUGUUCCCUUGGAGUUAUUUCGCUUUCUUCAUUUGACUUCUCCUUUGACUACAAUAGUCAUGGUCCCUAAACUCCCACUAUCUCUCUUGAAACUUAUUUCAAUUGUGUUAUACACAUCAAACGAUUUGGAGAGUGUGUGGUUAUUGUUCACUAUAUAGUUUACAAUAAACUUAGUGAACCAUUUGGAUAGGGACACAAAGGUGAAGUCCUUGCCUAGUUUCCGUUUCUAGAAGUGGUUUAACACUUCAACACUCAAUGAUUCAAAAUCAUCAUAAGUCCAUGUUGAUGGACUAUUUUUGUCAACCAACCAUUAUGUUCUAAACAUAAUUACAAACUUUCAAGAGUUGUUCAAGGCAACUCUCAUUUCUUCAUACAACAAUUUGUAAGUGAAGAAUCAUGGCACAUUAAGUGUCCAUGCCUUUGUGCUUUCUUCUCAAGUUCCUUGUUCAUGUAACAAAGAAACAAGCACUAAGUGUUUGCAUUGUCUAAGGGUUGUUCAAAGCAACUCUUAUUUCUUCAUACAACGAUUUGUAAGUGAAGAAUUAUGACAUUAAAAGUGUUGUCCUCCUUAUGAUAGACUUAUCUAACAUUUUCUUCCAAUGAUACAUUAUCAAUAGGAAGAUUGUGAGGAUGAGACUACUUAGGUACAUAUACAAUCCAUUUAAGACAAUCUUUGGGAUUGUGGUACCAAGUCCAGAAACUAAAGCAUUCGGCUUUUCUUUGUCAAGUUUUGGAUAGCGUUUGCAAAUAUAUUGGUAAACAAAUACAUAACGAAUAUAAAUUGAUUGAUUUUAAGCCAUUUGAUCCGGGUCUUUAAAUCAAAUAGCACCACCUACUAUUUUUGGCAAAUUCCAUAUCCCUCAUUGGAAUUCGAGAGUUUUGGAUGAAACUCUUAGUAGGGUAUGGGAGACUCACCAUUACCAAGCCCACCUUAGAAGAAUAUCAUAUUGGCUAGCAACAAUAAUGAUGAGAGGAUAACGCUUUAGCCAUUUACAACUUUUGUAAUUACCCAUCUAAUUUGGCCUCUAGAAAAUGAUGCCUAAGAAGAAUAUCAUAUUGGCACCAUUGCACUUAGUUAAGUCAUUCCCACCAUGCUAGUUCAAGUAGGGGUUCAAGAAUGGCCUCAGAAGAAUAUCAUAUUGACCAUACUCGUUGCCUACCUUCACUGCAUCAUAUGUUUAUAGGCUUCUCCUGAAUGUAAGCACAUACUUUGCAUACCCCAGAACUGGACAAAUACGGUGUAUGAGUCACAAACGAUUGAAGCCCACCAUGGUGGAAGGCCAAGAAAGAGUGUUCAAAGCACUCUCACGCUUAUCAACUUAAUAAUGGUUUGGUUGAGGGUUUUUAGGUCUCAUCAUAUAUAAACAUACAUUUUAAUCUUAUUAAAACAAUUUGUCCUAUUACAACUAUUGGUCCAUGUGAUUGACUUAGUAGUAUAUAAUACUCCCACUAAGCUUGUAAAAUGGUUUUUAAAGCAAGAGUAUAUGGUACUACUAACAUAAGGUUUGCAUUCAUUGAUGGACUAUAUAGUUGCCUUAGGGCCUUAGGAUGACUAUGAACCUUUGAUUAGAUCCAACACGAGCCUAGUGUUGAAUCUCGGUCUAGGGAUGGUGAUUGAUUUUAGUUACGCGUUUAAUCACAUUAAGGCGUGUUGUCUUAUUGGGCGUUGGACCCAACUACUCCAAUUUCAUGCAUAUCAAAUAAAACAAGAAAAUGAGUACUUCAAAAUAAAGAAGAGCUUAUGCUCUUUUACAACAUUUGAAUAAUACAAAUUACUUUAAAGUAAAGAAGAGCUCAUGCUCUUUUACAACAUUUGAUCAAAUCAAAUUACAACCAAAAUCUAAUCUACACAUUCCCAUGGUUCAAACAAAUUUGAAACGGCCUUUCACAUAGCUCAAUUAUCGUAGGCUUAGGUUCAUAAUCACCCUUUAAUUAAUUAACGCUUUAACUAAUUAAACUUUGAAUGCAACAUUGUCAUUUGGUUUUUGUAUCCAUAAAAUUGAUUUAAAUGGAGCUAAAUGAAAUGAAAAUCCAAUUCUCAUUUAAAGAGACAAAACAAUUUUGUUCUCAACUUAAUUUGGGCCAAAAAUGCAAUAACCUCAACUUUUGGGCUAUAUUGCAAAAACAUAAAACUUUUGGGGUCACUUUUGUAAAAACACAAAAGUCCACUACUUCAUGUAAUUACAACUAGAACCCAAAAAUUUCAACAAAUGCAAAAACUUCAUUAAAGGAGCAAAACAAUUUGUCCUUUAGUGUUUUUGGACCUAAACGUGAAAACGUAAACUUUUGGGCCAAAGUGCAAAUACACAAAAGUAUCAAAACUUUAUGUAAUUGCAUAAAAGCCCCAAAAGUACUCCCAUUGAGGGAGUGGCCGGUUUUGGAGAGGUGAAAGGAGUGAUGUGUGUGUUGAUGGGUAAGUUUGACAUAAAGCAUGCAAGUGGUGCAAGUGGUGUGUGUGAAAGGGAAUUAAUCCUUACACACCCACCAAUAAUUCCAUCACCUUUCUAAACAAAUAUCUAAUACAUUUAAACAUAUGAAAAACAUAAAACAUAAACUUUAUGAAAUAAAUCAAAACUUUGAAUCAAAACACCAAAACUUUUUUGUUCUUGGCAAAAAUGUCAAGAACAAUGAAGAAUACUCAUGAAAAACUCAAAAAAUUUCCAUGAACAUUUUUCACCCAAAAACAUCUCAAAACCAUUCAAACUUAAGGGAAAUAACAUAUAACCAAACUAGGGUACAUAGGGGUUCCAAAAGUCACUUGAAAACAUUUUUAACAAGACAAACAUGAACCCAAAAAUCCACCCUUUAGAUUUGGCCAAAUUUUCCCAAAAACAUGGCACCAACUUUUAGCUCCAAUAUUCAUGCUCAUAUGAACUACAUCUACAACAUUUGAGAUGUCAAAUUUUCUAACAAAAUUUACAUUCAAAGAAACAAGAAUAAAGCUUGUAACAUAUUACAACUUUUAAAUCAAAGACUAUGAACUACAAAACCCAAAAGGAUUCACCAAAUACUAGACCUAGGCUCUGAUACCACUUGAAGGAAAUUUUGUGAAAAACAUGUUCAUUUGAGCAACAUCUAUAGCAUGCAAUUAACAAAUUUAAAGGCGGAAUCAUGCUUGUAUGCACUCAAAAACAAAACAUUACCCAUGAAAUUCAAAGCCUAGUAGAUUGGUGAACCUUGACUCAACUUAAAACAACAUUUGUUAGUUGAGAAAUUAUACCUUUGUAGAUUCCUCUUUGCAUAAGCAAAGGCUAAUCACCCAAAGAGAGGGCCUUCAUUUCUUGCAUCUUAGAUCUAUGGAUUUGGAUGGAUGAAAUGGAUCUCCAAGUUCCCAAAAUUGAGAACCUCUAAGUCUCUUCACCAAGGUUAGAUUGGAGAAGAAAUGAGUGACCUUGGAGUAGUAGGAUUGCUAGCUAAACCCUCCAAGGAGGCCGGCCACUUUAGAGAGAAAGGAGAGCUUAUGUUCUCAUUCUUUCCCCAAAAGAAAACCCUAAAUGAAUUUUGGCUAUAAAGUCAUAUUUAUACCUUAAUUCAUUGGAGUGGCAAACUUGUAAAUAAGUCCAAAACUCACUCUAUCUCUAAAUGGCCGGCCUUAGGGUAUUAUUGGGCUAAUUGGGCCUUUGUGAAUCAUUAUUCAUUAAGUUGUCAUACAACUUAAGUCAAUGAGCUUGACGUUCUAAGCCCAUUGGGCCUUAAGGUCCAAAACUAUCCUGAGGUCUUUAACGAACUUAUUCGUUUGAUUAAUUAACUUAUUAAUUAAUCCUUGCCAUAAAUAAUUAAACCAUUUAAUUAUUCUUACUCAUCUCCAUUGUUUCUUCAAUCUCCACCUACACGGUGUACGAUCCAUUAGGUUCCUUUUAGCGAGGCAGUGGGCAAUUAAAACCAUUUCAAAUCGAUUGUGAAUUGAAACUUAGUUUCAAUUCUCCCUUUAGUGAUUAUACACG
rnacentral:lncRNA from 1 species